CAGGAGCCAUGGAGAGGACACCGGGAGCCCUGCUGGGGAUUUUGUGGGUGCAGGUUUGCUGGGUGAGAGGGGUGGAGGUGGAGCAGAGCCCUUCAGUCUCGAGUCUCCGGGAAGAAAACAGCAUUACAUUGAGGUGCAAUUUUUCUACCACCAUGAACUCAGUGCAGUGGUUCCUGCAAAAUCCAGGAGGCAGCCUCCUUAGUCUGUUCGUCAUGGCUCCUGGGACAAAGCGAAAUGGAAGGCUAGAGUCAACAUUUAAUUUCAAAGAACGUUAUAGCACCCUGCAGAUUACAGCCUCCAAGCUGGGUGACUCAGGCUUCUACCUCUGUGCAGCAGAUGCACAGUGCUUCCAGGUCCCUUGCAGCCUGGCUCCAAACUGCAGCUGGGCCUGAGCCACA